rnacentral:rRNA from 1 species
UUUGUAUAAUGGGUCAGCGACUUAUAUUCAGUGGCAAGGUUAACCAUCUAGGGGAGCCGUAGGGAAACCGAGUCUUAACUGGGCGUUCAGUCUCUGGAUAUAGACCCGAAACCAGGUGAUCUAGCCAUGGGCAGGUUGAAGGUUGAGUAACAUCAACUGGAGGACCGAACCGACUAAUGUUGAAAAAUUAGCGGAUGACUUGUGGCUAGGGGUGAAAGGCCAAUCAAACCUGGAGAUAGCUGGUUCUCCCCGAAAGCUAUUUAGGUAGCGCCUCGGACGAAUACUACUGGGGGUAGAGCACUGUUAAGGCUAGGGGGUCAUCCCGACUUACCAACCCUUUGCAAACUCCGAAUACCAGUAAGUACUAUCCGGGAGACACACGGCGGGUGCUAACGUCCGUCGUGGAGAGGGAAACAACCCAGACCGCCAGCUAAGGUCCCAAAUUACUACUAAGUGGGAAACGAUGUGGGAAGGCUCAGACAGCCAGGAUGUUGGCUUAGAAGCAGCCAUCAUUUAAAGAAAGCGUAAUAGCUCACUGGUCGAGUCGGCCUGCGCGGAAGAUGUAACGGGGCUAAGUAGUAAACCGAAGCUGCGGCAAUGCACUUUUAGUGCAUUGGGUAGGGGAGCGUUCUGUAAGCGGUUGAAGGUGUGUGGUAACGCAUGCUGGACGUAUCAGAAGUGCGAAUGCUGACAUGAGUAACGAUAAAGGGGGUGAAAAACCUCCUCGCCGGAAGACCAAGGGUUCCUGUCCAACGUUAAUCGGGGCAGGGUAAGUCGACCCCUAAGGCGAGGCCGAAAGGCGUAGUCGAUGGGAAACGGGUUAAUAUUCCCGUACUUCUUACAAUUGCGAUGGGGGGACGGAGAAGGCUAGGUGGGCCUGGCGACGGUUGUCCAGGUUCAAGUGCGUAGGCUGAGAAAUUAGG